UCAUCCAUUCUAUUGGUGUAUACGUUUCUUCGGUAGGUAAGUUCAACAGGUUGCUUUUUAGCAGCCUUUUUGUUUUGAACGUAGUUUUUACCUCUGUAAGUUAAAGUAGUCAUGUUUCGAUGUGACAAAACGGCCAUCCCCCGUUCCCUGGUAUGACUCGAACUGCGCCUUCUAAAGAAGGU
rnacentral:antisense_RNA from 1 species